rnacentral:rRNA from 1 species
UACGUAGGGUGCAAGCGUUAAUCGGAAUUACUGGGCGUAAAGCGUGCGCAGGCGGUUAUGUAAGACAGGUGUGAAAUCCCCGGGCUUAACCUGGGAAUUGCAUUUGUGACUGCAUGGCUAGAGUGUGUCAGAGGGGGGUAGAAUUCCACGUGUAGCAGUGAAAUGCGUAGAUAUGUGGAGGAAUACCGAUGGCGAAGGCAGCCCCCUGGGAUAACACUGACGCUCAUGCACGAAAAGCGUGGGGAGCAAACAGG